GAUGAUGACGAUGAUGAUGAACCGCAACCUAAAAGACUUAAAGAAUUAUAAUUCUUUUAAAGGUGCUUGUAUCCAAAGAUGCAUGUUGAAACAGCUAAGCGAAGCCAUGACUCCCAUGAUGAUGAGGAACCACUACAUGAAAGAUUUAAGAAACUCAAGCUCUCUUGACUUGCAAAUCAAGUCUUUCGCCCUUUGACUAUAUGCAGGUUGCAGAUUUGAUUAUAAAACCAUUGGUUAUUGUUCAGUUCAAGCCUUUUGUCUUUUUUUAGCUCAAAGGAGAAUGACAAGCUCAUCAAGCCCUUAAGUCUUGUUUAGCUUGGUUUUUGUUGAAGAAUUCAAUGUAGAAUCAAUUCAGACUUUCAGUUUGUGCUCUUUUCCAGAUUGUGUUAGUGACAUCGAUGUCCUUUUCCAUUGGAAAUUUUUUAUUUGAACAGGGGGAGAAGCUUCUCCCAUGCCGUUUUGUACAAAAUAAGAAUGAGAAGAAAAGCUAAAAUCAAUGAAAUGAAUGAAGGAUACAAGGCAUGACCCCUUUCUAUUCUUUGAGUCCUCCCUUUCUCUCAAGCUCUACCUAUCUUGAUACGUAUCACCUAGUAUCGGUUGUUUUAACAUUUAGCGUUUAUCCAUUUUUGCUAUCUAUUAGGGUGAAAUGUAAAGUUUGACAGGAAUUCUUUCCAUUAACUUCCAUGGUUCGCUUUCAGAUAGACCUUGUCUCAAAAUAAAUGUGUAAAGAAAGAAAGUUCAGUACAUAACUUACUAUCCUAUUGUCUCCAUUCUAAACCAUACACCGAUUCCUGAUCUGCCUGUGUGACCCUUAUCUCCCCUUAGUUUUUAUUCUUCCGAUGUAGGGCAUUUCAAACUUAAUUUUGUUUACCAUCAAUUUCGAUCACUUCU